CGAAAGCGCGGGUAGCAAACAGGAUUAGAUACCCUGGUAGUCCACGCCCUAAACGAUGCAUAUUUGGUGUAGGUCAUUCAGUUGAUCUGUGCCGGAGCUAACGCGUUAAAUAUGCCGCCUGGGGAGUACAGUCGCAAGGCUGAAACUCAAAGGAAUUGACGGGGGCCCGCACAAGCGGUGGAGCAUGUGGUUCAAUUCGACGCAACGCGAAGAACCUUACCUGGGCUCGAACGGCUGGUCAACGAUCGUGGAAACACGGUUACUCCGCAAGGGGGUCCAGUCGAGGUGCUGCAUGGCUGUCGUCAGCUCGUGUCGUGAGAUGUUGGGUUAAGUCCCGCAACGAGCGCAACCCUCGUCCUGUGUUGCCAUCAUUCAGUUGGGAACUCGCAGGAGACCGCCAGCGAUAAGCUGGAGGAAGGUGGGGAUGACGUCAAGUCCUCAUGGCCUUUAUGUCCAGGGCUACACACGUGCUACAAUGGCCGGUACAAUGCGCUGCUAAGUCGCAAGACGGAGCCAAUCGCAAAAAACCGGUCUCAGUUCGGAUUGCAGGCUGCAACUCGCCUGCAUGAAGCUGGAAUCGCUAGUAAUGGCAUAUCAGAACGAUGCCGUGAAUACGUUCCCGGGCCUUGUACACACCGCCCGUCACAUCACGAAAGUGGAUUGUACUAGAAGUCCGCACGCUGACCCGCAAGGGGAGCAGCGGCCCAAGGUAUGAUUCAUGAUUGGGGUGAAGUCGUAACAAGGUAGCCGUA
rnacentral:rRNA from 1 species